CAAUAGCGUAUAUUAAAGUUGUUGCGGUUAAAAGCUCGUAGUUGGAGUUCUGCCAGGUGCCGCCUGUCCGCCCCAGUGGUGAGUACGUGGCGCGCAUUUGGCCCUUUCAAGGGGAGCGUAUCUGCACUUUAUUGUGUGGUGCGGGAUCCUUGACUUUUACUUUGAAGAAAUGAGAGUGUUUCAAGCAGGCAUGCGCCGUGAAUACGUUAGCAUGGGAUAAUAGCAUCGGACCUCGUUCCAAAGCUGUUGGUUUCUUGGACCGAGGUAAAGGUGAAUAGGGAUUGUUGGGGGCAUUCGUAUUUGACUGUCAGAGGUGAAAUUCUUGGAUUUGUUGAAGACGGACUACUGCGAAAGCAUCUGCCAAAGAUGUUCUCAUUGAUCAAGAACGAAAGUUAGGUGAUCGAAGACGAUCAGAUACCAU
rnacentral:rRNA from 1 species